CCCUUAGAUGUCCUGGGCCGCACGCGCGCUACACUGAUGCAUUCAACGAGUCUACCUUGGCCGAGAGGCCUGGGCAACCUUUUAAACGUGCAUCGUGAUAGGGAUAGAUUAUUGCAAUUAUUAAUCUUGAACGAGGAAUUCCUAGUAAACGCAAAUCAUCAAUUUGCAUUGAUUACGUCCCUGCACUUUGUACACACCGCCCGUCGCACCUACCGAUUGAAUGGUCCGGUGAGGACUCGGGAUUUUUACCAGUUUCCUUCAUUGGGAAUUGGCGAGGAGAACUUGUCCAAACCUUAUCAUUUAGAGGAAGGUGAAGUCGUAACA
rnacentral:rRNA from 1 species